GCGAAUAGAUUAUUGUACUUGAGUGUAAUCAUUGAGUUUCGCUCAAUAUUCCCCGGGAUUUCCGAGCACUAUAUAAGAGACCUGGCAAACCUUAUUUUAUACCAUUAACUAAGAGUUGUCUUAUACGGUUGUAACAGAAAUAUCGGAUUUUAUUAAAAGAACCAUGGAUAAAAGGGAGGCGAGAGAAUUUCUGGGAACAAAUCAUCACUAUAAUCCAGCAAUGAACGUGAUUCCUGGACAACCACCUGCAGCCAAGAAGAAAUGGGGAGUCAUUGGGACCACUGUGGCGAAUCCGUUGAGAAUUCGUCAGAAUUCGGUUUCUUCGGACACAUCAUCACCAGUUGGAUCUCCAACCGAGGCGCCAGACUUUAGCCAACUGGAAAGAAGAAAUUCUAAGACACUGUAUAAUUCAUUUGGAUUCACAAAUUGAUUUACCAGUCAGUAUUUAUAACAGCGGGUCAGAGACCAGACAAUCGUCGUUUGUGUUCAUAUACAAACCUGGUCAUAUAUUUCGUCCAUUUCGGUUAAAAUGAAAUUUCAUUACCAUGUCUCUAGUGCAUAAUAUACAAGUGUGACUGUCAGUACAUAUAGAAAACAAUUAGUUCACAAACUGUGGAUUAAAGAGGGCAUUUGUGUGUUUGUUAUUGUGUUCGACUUAAAAAUGUAAUGCGUGUUUACUGCGAGUGAUUUUGAAAUUUGAUAAUUUUGUAUGUUCCCAUUGCACAACGAUAUUGUGAUACAUUAUUUCAAAAUGUAUUUUUGUAAAUAACAAAUAAAUGAAACGUAAAACUGCU